rnacentral:lncRNA from 1 species
AACAAAUCAUGGUAGUAAAAUGGCGGCAGAGAGCUAGUAAUGUGUCUGCAAUUGGUGGGUUCUUGGUCGCACUGACUUCAAGAAUGAAGCCGCGGACCCUCACGGUAUGACAGCUCCUCUCCCAACAGCUCUACUUUCUACAUCUACUCUCUACCACCACAAAACUUCUUUCAGUUCCAUGAAAGGGCCAUGUUUUUCUGGUCUCUUGGCCUAGGAGCAUGUUGUUCUUCUGCCAGCAACCUUCUUCAACCAUCUCCACAGGAUGACUCCUCUAUUGGAUACUUCCAUGAAAAGUCCAGGCCUGGGUUAUGUACCCUUCCCAAAGUGCACCCCAGACACCCAACAGUUUUUCCAGCCCAGACUCACCACACUGUGUGGUAAUUUCCUGAUCACUCAGUUGUGCUCCCCACAGACUAUAAGCUCUAUGAGGGCAGGGGCCACAGUUUGCUUGUUCACUACUAUAUGCUCAGUACCUGGUAAAUAUUAGUUGACUGAAGAAUGACUAUGUGGUAAUCUAUUCCAUUGGUGGCCUCCAGUGAACCAUGUCUUCUGGUAUUUACAUCUUGUGUGGUCCCCUCCAUUAAAUUUGGGCUUUAACCAACAGAAUGCUGCAGAAGCGACACCCUGCCACUUGUGCUUUUGUGAUCCUAGCCACCAGUAAGAAGCCCUGUGACCUUGCUGAGACCCUGAAGAGACCACAUAGAGAGGCCACUUGAAGGGCAAGGGGUCCUGACUCUACAUGGAGAGAGAAGCCCAGCCAUCCCUGUUUCCCAGCUGAGUCCUGACCAGAUAACUCACUACAAGACUGACCACAGGCAAGAACAGCAGAAGAGCUGCCCAGCUGAGCCCAUCCAAGAGUGCAGAAUUUCAAGCAAGUAAAAUGACUAAUGUUAGAACUCAGAAUGAAGGGGCCUCAGGUUACCUGCAUCAUUCUGGUUUUUUGCUCCUGUUUUACUACGAAGCAAACACCUCGACUAUAAGCCGCCAUAGACCAGGGUCUGUGUCUCAUUCGUGUCUGGACAAUGCAUCACAGACACUCAACUGUUUUCUGCCUGAGCAGAAUUAAGACUUGGCCUCCUAACUCCUCCAUCACCAUCUUCUCCACUCUCUUCCUUGGCCUUCAUCACCAACACCACCUCAUCAACCGUGAAAGAUUCAAAGAGUAAGGAAAACCAUUUCUAGGACCAUGAAAUGUGUCACUGGAUCUCCUGCAGAAAUCUGCCAGAGCUACAAUGUGACUGGUUUCUACAUGUCUGACAAAUUUCUAUUUAAAUAAGUAUUUUUCAAAAUGCAAAUUGCUACCUAUUCUUUGGCCAUCAAAUCACUUUAGUGGGUUGCAACCGGCUUUUUCUUCUUAAUAGAAAAGGAAAUGUGUUGCAUUUGGUAAACAUGGAAAUUGUUUUAU